UGAUACCGGAUAAGAAAGCAGAUCGCAUGAUCAGCUUUUAAAAGGCGGCGUAAAGCUGUCGCUAUGGGGAUGGCCCCCGCGGUGCAUUAGCUAGUUGGUAAGGUAAAGGCUUACCAAGGCGAUGAUGCAUAGCCGAGUUGAGAGACUGAUCGGCCACAUUGGGACUGAGACACGGCCCAAAACUCCUACGGGAGGCAGCAGUAGGGAAUCUUCCACAAUGGACGCAAGUCUGAUGGAGCAACGCCGCGUGAGUGAAGAAGGUUUUCGGAUCGUAAAGCUCUGUUGUUGGUGAAGAAGGAUAGAGGUAGUAACUGGCCUUUAUUUGACGGUAAUCAACCAGAAAGUCACGGCUAACUACGUGCCCAGCAGCCGCGGGUAAU
rnacentral:rRNA from 1 species